rnacentral:lncRNA from 1 species
UAAGUGGUCAUGAGCAGCACACCUGUUUUUUAGUGUUAUCAUUAAAAAGAACCAGCGAAGCAGCAAACCCUUUUUUCCCUUCAUCUUAGCUAUUGCCGCUACAGUAUGGGAAUAGCGGCAACUAUUGCAGUGGUAGCGAAUCAGAACCCACUAUGCAAUAGCGCCACUAUUUAACAACACUGGUUAAGGAGGUUUUUAACAGUUGUAGUUAUCCAUUGCUCUACUCUGUAAUUGGGGUUUGUUCUUAUUUUUAUCAUAAAAUACUAGGUUUUUAUAGUCUUGUGUUAUUAUUAGGAGCUAACCUGACGCAGUAC